UUGGUCCUUUUUUACAAGAUCAUCUCGUUUGAUAAGCAUUAGGGGACAAAUCCUGUGAAGCCAUAUGUGUAGCCAUGCCUGAGCUAGGUUUGAUCUGGCUAGUUCCAAGAACGAUCUCAAUGAAGCUGCAGUAGCAUUGGCCACAGCACCAGCUGCACAACACUGAGUGGGACUUGGCGUCCCCGCUAUUGUUACUCGAGCGAGCGAAAUCCAAGCUAACGCCUCCUGUCUACGUGUGCUGUGGCCACACCUCUGCCAGCAGUGCGGUGACUUAGUUAUAGAUGUGCAACUGUGAGCAGACUCUUAUAGUUUCUCAUGGGAGCUCAUUUUUAAGGGACUUAAUAUUGAUGAUCCACACCGGCUAAAAGAAGAAAAUUCCAAACUCCGCUUGAUAGUUGGGGUACUUUUUCAAAGGGCUGCACAAAAAGGUUAACUUCGUCCCUUCCAUUUGACACGAAUGGAAUUGAUGACUCAAGUCUCAAUAAGCUAUUCUAAGAGGGUAAAGUUCACCUUACUUACAAGGCUAACGUCGUACCUCUGAACAAUGAAAGUCUGACUGCAUUCCUGAUGAGAUGAACUUAGAAUGGUGUCAUUUGGCUUAACCAGAGAGAGAGAGAUUCUCUGACUCACCUGCUGUGGUUGUGUCCUCUGGACCACCAAGAACCUGUUUGGUAUCUAGGCUGUACCCAUGUGUCAAAUGCACAUACACAUGCUAAGCACAACCAGAUGGUGCAGGAUUCUGGCAGCUGGUUAUGUUGACUCUGAUGUUUGGCCAACAGUUGGUAGAGAUACUCAGUAAUGCCAACUCUAGGUAUCAUGUCAAGCCCCCAAAAUCAUGAGAUUUUUUUUAAAAAUAAAUAAUUUUGAAGGUUUGGGUUUUUUUGUUUUUGUGGGUUUUUUUUUUUUUUUUUUUUUUGUCCUCUGAUUCCUUAGCCUCCAUGACAUAAUUUGGUCACAUUUUCAACCUUUUCUCUCCAACCACAAGAGCUGGAAGCUUACAUUUUAUUAACGAUGGCUGAGAUUAUCCCCUAAUUAUACAAUACCAGCAGCUGGGAAAAACUCGCAAGAGUCAUAAAAUCAAGAGAGCCAGUCACAGUGGAUACCAGCCCUGUGCAAUUCUUUGAAAUGUGCAUUCCUCAUGGCAUUCUGGAAAAUACAACCCGCCACUAUCUCAAAGAGCUGUGUGUGGUCUCCUGGUGAGACUGCCUGGAAAAUGGUAUGUCACAACAAGAGCAGUGCAAGUGUCUCCUCACUGGUUCUCAUCACCGACUCCAUUGGGAUGGACUGUCUGUAGUUAUCAGCCUGUAGAGUGAAGGAGUACCCUUAUCCUUCAGAGAUCUCGGUACCUCCUUCAAAGCAGUUGAAACGGGGAUUCAGGAUUUAUUGUACAGUAUGUAUGUUACUGCCAAAAUGCAGAAGACGGAGCUGCAAGGCAAGAAACCGCACACUCAUACCAGCUUGUGCUAACUAGAGGCAGGACUGACUUAGCAGACUUGCUUAAUAUUUUGGAUGUUAGGCUUGGCAGGUGACGGUGAAGGAGGAAUGGUAACUCAGUAGGUCUCCCUGAGAACUGUUUGCUGCUUAGGACUCUUGAAAACCAGGCACGUGCCUAAAUAUGGGAUCCAGGAGCCUAACUUCAGGCUCCUGUUUUAGAAAAUCUUGGCACCUGAUUAAAUUCCUUCUGCACUUUCUGUUGGACACUAAAUUCUUUUUCAUUUCCUGCCAUACGCUGAGGUGCAGGGUUAAUUACUAAAUUUCACCUAGGUAGUCGCAUUUCAGUGGCAGGUGCAGCAAUCCCUAAAUAUGGGAUGAGCCACAAGACCUGAGUAAGGGGCGGUGCCACCCCAGCAGCUGGCCAGGAGGAGUCGGAGAGGUAUGCUAUGAUUCCUGCUUCCAGCCCUGCUCUUGCUCCAGAGGGGAAGUAAUCUGUGCCAGCCCUAUAGCUUGUCUGAUUACUGUGCCUUCUCAGCUGCAUCAGCUGGCAUGUUUCAGGGGAGGAGAAAACAAGACACCACCCACUCUUUGCCCACCUGUGCAGAAAGGAAAGCAGCAACUGUACCUAGGCGACACCACCUGCAGCAAUGCUGUGCCCCACAAUAAGCAUAAGCCGUACAGGGAAGGAAGGGAAUUCGGGCACGUGCCAUGUGUCACAGUUGCGCCCAUAGCAUGCAUAUCCGUUUUGAAAAGCAUUUUGGGUUGCUUUGGGAUAAACAGUUCUAUACAAAUGCAAAGUACUGUGGAAUUAAUCUGCAAAGGUCACCAGGACGAGCAAGGACUCCGGGAAUCAAUGAGAUCAAAAGGCGAGGAAAUGAACAAACAGGAGAGUGGGGAGAAAAGCAAACAGGAGAAGGCACAACCAGCCAAGUGACCUUUCCUUUAGACAAGGCUUCUGCUUUCCUUUUCAGUCCCUCCGUGAGGGGGUAUACAGACCCCACACUGGGCUCCUGGGGGUUAAAAGGCAAUACUGGAUCCAGAUAACCUGCUCCUCCAGAUGGAGCAUGCUUCGCAGACUGGAGGGGUGGGGCUAACAGGAGCUCAGAAGGCCAGGUAAAGGGCUGGUGGGCAGGUUGCGAGAGACAAACCUUCACCUGAGAGGCCAGACAGAAGGUUGAUCCUGAGAAGGGACCACAGAGCGGGUAGGGGCCACAGGCAGAGCCUUCUCCAACCACCACCCACUUGGAGAACCAGCAGCUUCUGCAGAGCCCUGCUCAGUUGGACUCUUUGUUACUCUACUGACUGUUUGGGCUAUAGGAGCCACGCCCCACACUGAAGGAGCAUGGAGGUAGGAAGCAGCCCAGGGUGGCAGAUGUAGGCUCUCUGCAGGGAGGACCUUGCUGAUGUUGCUUUCCACAGGACCCUGGGUGGGGACCCAAUGGAGAGGGAGGGCCUGGGUCUCCCUAACACCCUCCCCCUUAUGGGCAAAGUCCCAGAUGUGGGUGGAGUCCAAAACACUCCUACCCUAAGGCCCGGAAAUAGGCAUAUCUACUGCCCCCUGACAGAGAGCCAAGGGGCUGGAGGUCAGAUGUGCUUACUGCUCGGCCACCUGGCCCUCUGAGCGCCCUAUUGUACUCUCUGCUGUGCCCUCCCUUAUGUUCAGCAGUUGUGUUUGGUAACAAGGUUACGUAGGGAGGAGUUAUUUGCUCAGUCUGGCCAGAAGAAUACCAGAUGCACCACAAGGGAACGUUGGACUAGCUGCUGAAGCUCCAAACUACAGGACUGGACAACAGGCCAGGUUCUGAUCACAUUUAUGACAGCUUGUCUCUCUAGUGUAACAACAUCAACUUCAAUUCAGUUGCGCCUAAGUGACUCUAUUGAUUUGAAUGGAUUUGCACCUGUUUACACCAGAACUGAUUUGACCCUUUUUCCUUACCUGACCUACAUUUCCCAUUGCUGACUUAAAAUGGAAGUUUGCAUUUGUAUUAGCAACCAGAUUCCACUGCAGUAGGCCGCAUUAUAAAGGAGUGAAAGACAUAGACACA